AUGGAGGGAGGGAGCUGGAGGAGCACAAUGUGAUUUUUCUUCCAAGGCCUGGCAUUUCCAGGUAAAGAAUUUUCCCCUUGGAAAAAAGGUAGAGGACAAGCAAUAUUAUUAUUAUUAUUCCAGUACACUUCAGGUCUGGGGCUACAUCUACAGAUGAAACGAGACUCAUCGGAUCCAGACUAGGCUCUCUGUAAAGAUCUGUGUGUGAGAGCUUCCUAGAAGAGGGUACCUGGUGAAUCAAUCACUCACCAGUCUCAGAGUAACCGGAGCAUUUGAGAAAUGGGCAGUGUGCUCGAUGGUUUUCACUUUUCCCUGAAGAUGUGCUAUCUAAUCUCUUCGUGGUGGAAAAUCAGACGGGCAGGUCUUCAAAAACAGGAGAAAAGAGAUGUGGAUAGCAUUUUCCAUCAUGAGUCCUCUGGAAUUGUCUGGGAUCAUUGUAUUCCUG